CCAUGGACAGGAAUAUGGCACUGAAAAUAUAUAGUCUUGCCACGAGCAGGAAUAUGAUACUAAGAAUAGCCUCACCAUAGAUAGAAAUUGUCAGAAAAUGCCAUCACAUUGCGAUCUGAUAUGCAUGCAGAGAUUUUAAAAUUUUGAAACACACAGCGAAAGAAAAAUUUUAAAAUUUUUCAAUAUCAUUCUAGGACAACGAUGCAGCAUAGCAUGUCAACAUUAUGCC
rnacentral:lncRNA from 1 species